CGUCUCGAUGUCGCACACAGGCUGGAUGACAGGAGGGUUCACUCUGCAUGUGUCUGUGCACAUUGGUUGUAUAGUGGAAUGAACGGAGAGAGUGAACCCUCCUGUCAGCUGUUCAGCCUCUUUGUCCCAGUAUGUGGAAGCGGGGGCUACUAGUGAGUGGAUACACACAGUGCUAGCAGUUAGCAAGUUAGCAAGCAAAUGUGUUAAUAUGAAUGAAGGCACAGGAGCGAUAGUUUCUAAGCCGAAUGCCAUGGCUCCAGUGUGGAUGUGCAGCAGAGCCUUCGUCCCGACAGUCAACACUUAACUGAGGCGUUUGAUCGGUGGAAUAAAUAUAAAACAAAACAGCGCAAAAUGGCGCACGCUCGCGACACUGCAAAAGAAAUGCAAAUGAAAAGCCAACAUUGUUACAAAUGUUUGAAAUGUUACAAAUGUUGGACAGACAGUAUGAAUUGCCUGGGAGAACGUGCAUGCACGUGUCACAAACAGCAAUUCCUGAACUGUAUAACCGAGUGAAGGAAGACGUUUUGAAGGACAUCAGAAACAUUACAUUUUACUCUGCCACCACAGAUAUGUAGUCCAGCUCAAAUAUGACCCCCUACAUUAGUUUAACAAUACACUACAUAACUGCGUAUGUGUUUAUUGGAGUGUGUUUUUAUUGUUCACAGAGACAGGGUCUCUAUAGCAACAAGCAUGUGGCUCACAUGGGUACACUACACUUGAGUACCAUCUAGUGGUUCAAAUGUGAAUUACAACUCAUGACAAUUAAUGAUUUUUUUUUUUAACAAAUGUCGAUAUUAUCGAUUAUUGAUGAUAAUUUGAAGCGCAAUUAUCAGAAACUUGUUAUCAUGACAGGCCUAACCCUACGUGUUUGUGACUCACUGUCCGUGGGUCUGCUAAAUAACCCGCCAUGGGCCCCCAAAAAAAGUUGCGAGUGCCAGCAAGAAACACUACUGAAUUCGAUCACGUCAGGAUGUACAGGAAGUCUGCUUCAACAAUAAAUUCCAUCCAUUCCUCAUUUAGAAUUAUUUCACUGUUUUCUGCAUGUAAAACUGUAAUUAUUCUCUAUAAACUAUAUUUUUUGUGAACACUUUUGGGUGUCUGGAACAGAUUAAGUGGAUUUCCUCUGGGAAAACUUGCCUCGGUUUUCACAGGUUUAGUUUUUUUCAAACUUUUUGGAUUUGAUUAACAACGAAAGCCGAGGUACCAGUGUAUUUUGCUGCAUCUGUUGUUGUGUGUCGGUGUUACCUCCAGGACGCUGAGUCGGAUGGUGCCGUCUCCAUCUUGAUCGAAGGCCUGGAAAGCUCCUACAGGGAGUGUGUGUUGCCUCGCUUAAAAAAGUUUGGGCACUCCUGGCCUCCCAACAAGUGAUGACGAUGUUGAAGAUGAUGACAAAUGAAGACAUACUGAACAUGGCCUCCAGGCGGACCAGGCAGCUGAUGAAGCUGUCAAAGUCGAUGUUCAUGCUCUCGUUGGCGUAGCGCAUGGUGAUGAUGUCAUACAGCUGGUUGUUGAGGCGGAAUCCUGAGCGGGACACAAGACACAUGACUGUACAGCGACAAGAACAUUGAGAGGGUGGCGGAACUCCUGAAGGUUCAGUCGACCCGUCCCGUCCAUCUGAGCCCAGACAGUUAAAGACAGCCUCUUCCUGUAUGAUUGGUAUUUAAUAUUAUUGACCCUAUUUGGUAACUUUGGUGUGGCCCUACUAUAAGCUCGUCCAACCAUGUGGCUUCUCGCAGCCCAUCAGCAGGGAUACGAUGACAGUAUUGAAAAGAUGGAUUCAGUGUUCAAAAUAAUAAAUAAAUGGAGGCGAGAGUUGACAUUUUGGUGAAAAAUAACGUAAAACUCACCAUUAACAUUUUUUUUUGGUACUUAUGAAAUCAAAUUUUAUCUGAUCAAAAUAGCAGGUAAAUAUAGUAAUCCUUCGCAACUUUGCGCUUCAAAUUUUGCAGCUUCACUCUACCCCGGUUUUUCAAAAAUAUAUAUAUAAUAAUAAUAAAUAAUAAAUAAUAAUAAUAAAUCAUGCUGUUUCGUGGUUGCAUACAACCUAUUAUUUGUCAAAAUGUGUCAAAUAUCUGCAUAUUUAAACAAAUUUGAUCAUUUUCAAGCAUA